rnacentral:lncRNA from 1 species
GGAACUGAUAUAUUUGUCUCGAUACCCAUUGUUACAUCGCGACAUAUCAUGGCGCAUACGCAUUCCAACUGGCACACAAAUCGAAGUGCCCAACAGGACCAUCUGGCUUAAAUAUGUUGCCUGAUUGGGACUACUAAGGUCGGAUGACCUGGAUCAAUAAUCGAAGCACUGCGUGUAUCAGCCUGGAUGCAAAACCGUAUUGCAUGCGACACUCGUGGAACGGACCUAGCUAGUCGUUGCUAUCACCGCCAUGCAUCCCUUCAUCAACAACAGCUCUUUAUCAACAGCAACUAGUGGUAUGCAUUUGCAUGCACGUCACUGCAACCGUAACAUCUGCAUGCUGCUGUUAUUACUGACAUCUCUAGAUUAGACGUAGAUCAUGAAUUUCGUACUGCUUGGACGUGAGAUGAGUGAGCAAUGCGGCAGUGUAAUGGCGACAGUCAUUGUGAAGAAGCCGAAGCUGUGUAUUCCAGCACCUGCACACAUUAGAACACACAUGGAUGGCAGAGCAGAAAAGAGUUCUGGUUGGAUGUGCACGGGGGCAGUGCACUGAUGGCCAUGUGCACCCCUGUGUGUGCAUGUGUGUAUGUGUAUAACACCAGACAAAGAGUACUCGCGGGAGAUGCCGAGGGAGCUGAACCCUUCUUGCAGUAUGUAUGUAUGUAAGUAUGUAUGGUGUGGCACAUCACAGAGGCGGCACAUGGCGGCAGCGGCCACCACAUACACCUCAUCACUUCAUAGAUAUCCAACGUGUGAUGUUGUAUGCGUACAACAUACACGCUUGCGUUUUUGGGGGGUGUAGUCCGAUGAUAACGAUGUGUACAUGUACAUGUAAUAAGCGUCCGGUUAUCAACACAGGGUGGUUACUUGGCUAACACAACGACCUGGCAUUAUUACAAGCGCAAGAGGGUGCCAACCUAGGGGCGGCUUCAGUGUAAUGUCGUACAGGUUGCUCGUCCACUUGGCAUUUCCUUAUCCCGUAGCUACUUGUAUGACUCAAAGUGGGGAAAGGCCUUGAAGGCCGGAAAGAAGAAGUAGCGUACACAGAACCACACAGCCGUACACACAUCUCCAGGUGCGAUUGAUCUGGAUCGAGGGUCACUUGCGGACAGAUAGACAUACCGGUUGAAUGCCUCAAUCGUGGCAAUAGCCUCUUCAUCACCCCAGGGUGUGGCCACCUUCACCAUCAGCCUGCAACACACACACACGCGGAUACAUGUGCGCACGUGAGGCACGCGUUCCUUGCAUUUUUAUUGGCAUGCAAUGUACCAUCAUCCAUGUAUGUAUGACCUAGGUUACACUGUGGGCCGCGAGGGCCGGGGGCCAAAGCCGAAACACAGCGCAGCACACAGCACAAGUCGGUUAGUCUUGUGUGCUCCCGACCCCGACUCAGACUGCCAACACUCUACGCGUAUGUAUGUAUGUAUGUAUGUAUGUAUGUAUGUAUGUAUGUAUGUAUGUAUGUAUGUAUGUAUGUAUGCAUGUAUGUAUGUAUGUAUGUAUGUAUGUAUGUAUGUAUGCAUGUAUGCAUGUAUGACGCUGAUUACACUGUGGGCUGAAAAGCCGGGGGCCCAGGGCCGAAACACAGCGCGGGGGCCGGAUGCACACGGCUGGUUAGCCUCAUGCACUCCGCCCCCGGGUCAGGCCGCACGGGGAACAACGGCCGGCACACAUCAGCGCUCGUUUGGCGCUCCAGCUAGACGGGAUCUAUGCCCGCUGGCUCCUAACAUAAACGAAAUCGCAACCGGGGGGCUCUUCCUGCCGACCGAACGAACCGAGCAUCUCAGAGAGCUCGCAACCAGGACCUGGAGCCCGACGAGUCAUCCCGGGCUGGGGAGGUCACCAAGCUCAAAAAUCCUCACGCAAAAAGAGCGCAAAGAGCUCACACCACAAGACGCCAAACAGCCUCCUGAGACAACUACCCUCCUCCGCCUCUCCCUCACUGGACUAGUCCAGGGGAGAUAGCACCCGUCGGGGGGAUAACACCGCACAAGCCCACACCCUUCCACAGCACUGGGUCUAGCUUGAAAAGUACUCAAACGGGAAAACCCUGCAGUGACGCCGGGCGAUCAAGCCCCCGAAAACCACAGGGGGGAAGGGUAGCCAGCUCGGCGUCCCCCCAUUACCGCUCUACCAAGACGGCCGGUUCCCAAGAUCCUAUCUCACCUAAACGCCACAACACCCGAAACCAGCAACAACGGGGCGACGGGUGCUUGUUGCUGCCCCGUCGCCCCGUUGUUGCUGGACUAUUGCUGCUCACAGGGGUGGCUGGGGCAUCAGGAAAGGUUCCCCUUCCGGGGGGGUCUUCCUGGUCGCUUGAAGGGUGCCCUUCUGGUGGCAUGCCUCUGAUGGCUCACCAUAUUCAAAAGACAGGUCUCACGGAAGGCCGCGAUUGCUGGUAAGCUCCGGCCUCCACAUGUCGGCCAUAGUCG